rnacentral:rRNA from 1 species
UACGUAGGGUGCGAGCGUUGUCCGGAAUUAUUGGGCGUAAAGAGCUUGUAGGCGGUUUGUCGCGUCUGCCGUGAAAAUCCAGGGCUUAACCCUGGACCUGCAUCGGGUACGGGCAGACUAGAGUGCGGUAGGGGGAGAUCGGAAUUCCUGGUGUAGCGGUGAAAUGCGCAGAUAUCAGGAGGAACACCGGUGGCGAAGGCGGAUCUCUGGGCCGUAACUGACGCUGAGGAGCGAAAGCAUGGGGAGCGAACAGG